rnacentral:rRNA from 1 species
AGAGUUUGAUCCUGGCUCAGGAUGAACGCUAGCGGCAGGCCUAAUACAUGCAAGUCGAACGGGAUUGAGUAGCAAUAUUCAUGAGAGUGGCGCACGGGUGCGUAACACGUAUGUAACUUACACUUAACUGGGGGAUAGCUCCGAGAAAUCGGGAUUAAUACCGCAUAACAUCUUAGUAACACAUGUUACAGAGAUCAAAGCUCAGGCGGUUAAGUAUGGACAUGCGCGACAUUAGCUAGUUGGUGAGGUAACGGCUCACCAAGGCUACGAUGUCUAGGGGGUCUAAGAGGAUGUCCCCCCACACUGGUACUGAGACACGGACCAGACUCCUAUGGGAGGCAGCAGUAGGGAAUAUUGGGCAAUGGGCGCAAGCCUGACCCAGCCAUGCCGCGUGCAGGAUGACUGCCCUAUGGGUUGUAAACUGCUUUUAUACGGGAAGAAACCUUCGAUCGUGAUCGAAGCUGACGGUAUCGUAUGAAUAAGGAUCGGCUAACUCCGUGCCAGCAGCCGCGGUAAUACGGAGGAUCCAAGCGUUGUCCGGAUUUACUGGGUUUAAAGGGUGCGUAGGUGGACUUUUAAGUCAGUGGUGAAAGCCUGUAGCUUAACUAUAGAAUUGCCAUUGAAACUGAAAGUCUUGAGUACAGUUGAGGUGCGCGGAAUGUAUCAUGUAGCGGUGAAAUGCUUAGAUAUGAUACGGAACACCGAUUGCGAAGGCAGCUCACUAAACUGCAACUGACACUGAGGCACGAAAGCGUGGGGAUCAAACAGGAUUAGAUACCCUGGUAGUCCACGCUGUAAACGUUGAAUACUCGAUGUGUGCGAUACACAGUACGCGUCUAAGCGAAAGCGUUAAGUAUUCCACCUGGGGAGUACGAUCGCAAGAUUGAAACUCAAAGGAAUUGACGGGGGCCCGCACAAGCGGAGGAGCAUGUGGUUUAAUUCGAUGAUACGCGAGGAACCUUACCUGGGCUUGAAUGUGAGUGACCGCCUGUGAAAGCAGGCUUCCCUUCGGGGCACAAAACAAGGUGCUGCAUGGCUGUCGUCAGCUCGUGCCGUGAGGUGUUGGGUUAAGUCCCGCAACGAGCGCAACCCCUAUCUUUAGUUGCCAUCAGGUUAUGCUGGGGACUCUAAAGAGACUGCCUACGUAAGUAGUGAGGAAGGUGGGGACGACGUCAAGUCAUCAUGGCCCUUACGUCCAGGGCUACACACGUGCUACAAUGGCCGGUACAAAGGGUUGCUACACAGCGAUGUGAUGCUAAUCUCUAAAAGCCGGUCUCAGUUCGGAUCGGAGUCUGCAACUCGACUCCGUGAAGUUGGAUUCGCUAGUAAUCGCAUAUCAGCAAUGAUGCGGUGAAUACGUUCCCGGGCCUUGUACACACCGCCCGUCAAGCCAUGGAAGUUGGGUGAACCUAAAGUCGAUAACCGCAAGGAGUCGCCUAGGGUUAAACCGAUAACUAGGGCUAAGUCGUAACAAGGUA